AGAGUUUGAUCAUGGCUCAGAUUGAACGCUGGCGGCAUGCUUUACACAUGCAAGUCGAGCGGCAGCGCGGGGGCAACCCUGGCGGCGAGCGGCGAACGGGUGAGUAAUGCAUCGGAACGUGUCCCGGAGUGGGGGAUAACCCGGCGAAAGCCGGGCUAAUACCGCACAUUCUGUGAGCAGGAAAGUGGGGGAUCGCAAGACCUCACGCUCGGGGAGCGGCCGAUGUCCGAUUAGCUAGUUGGUGGGGUAAUGGCCUACCAAGGCGACGAUCGGUAGCUGGUCUGAGAGGAUGAUCAGCCACACUGGGACUGAGACACGGCCCAGACUCCUACGGGAGGCAGCAGUGGGGAAUUUUGGACAAUGGGGGCAACCCUGAUCCAGCCAUGCCGCGUGCGGGAAGAAGGCCUUCGGGUUGUAAACCGCUUUUAGUCGGGAAGAAAAGGGCGAGGUUAAUACCUUCGUUUUUUGACGGUACCGGCGGAAUAAGCACCGGCUAACUACGUGCCAGCAGCCGCGGUAAUACGUAGGGUGCGAGCGUUAAUCGGAAUUACUGGGCGUAAAGCGUGCGCAGGCGGUUCGUUGUGUCGGUGGUGAAAUCCCCGGGCUUAACCUGGGAAUGGCCAUGGAAACUGGCGAACUGGAGUGUGGCAGAGGGGGGUGGAAUUCCGCGUAGCAGUGAAAUGCGUAGAGAUGCGGAGGAACACCGAUGGCGAAGGCAGCCCCCUGGGCUAGCACUGACGCUCAGGCACGAAAGCGUGGGGAGCAAACAGGAUUAGAUACCCUAGUAGUCC
rnacentral:rRNA from 1 species